CAUCCUUUGAUAUCCUCUCAAUUGUACAUUGUGAAACAUAAUAUUGCAAUACGUUAGGUUUAGCUUUUUUGGUGUUAAUAUGGUUUCCUUAACCAUAGCCAUAACUCAAACCAUAACCAUAGAAGUAAGUUUUCACCGGGUCGCGGGUCAUGUUGGAGCCUAUCCCAGCUGUCAACGGGCAGGAGAGGAAAGCGGAGUGCCCGGAGGAAACCCACAUAGACACGGGGAGAACAUGCAAACUUCACACUGGCGGGUCCGAGAUCGAACCCGAGACCUCAGAACUGUGAGGCCAACGCUUUCCAGCUGACCCACCAUGCCGCCUUCUUAUAAUUAUGAAUGCGGAAAAUAUAUCACUACAGUAUUACGAAGGUAUACGGCCGCCUCACGCCCCUGUCUCGAUGGCUGCCAACUCCCUCUCCUGCUUCAAUGGCGACCGGUUCGUGGGCGUCUGAGGGGCCAUGCAACGACGGCCACCGAUCUUCGGCUGCCCCCCGACCUAGCCCAAGCGGCAACUGAUUCCCGACUGCCUCAUGACCUAGCCUUGACAGCGACUGAUCCCCGGUCUCCUCAGAACGAAGCCUCGGCCGCGACCGCCUCACGACCGAGCCUUGGCGGUGACCGACACACGGCUGUCUCCUGACCGAGCCUCGGUGGCGACCAAUCCCCGGUUGUCUCACUACCACGUCCUUGGAGGUCUUCGUCCGGAGCAGUCACAUGCUUCCGUCUUGUUCCUGCUUCACCGUUGGGUUCCUCCUCGAAGACGUCCACCCGAAUCAUCCCGUGGGGUCCCUGGUGCUUGGCGUCCGGGUCGACCUCCUGACCUACCCAACCGGACGCCUCGCUUUUGGGGGCCUGGAUGGCCACCAGCCAGACUGGGGUUGGGGGGGGGGGUGGAUGAGCUCAGUAUUAAAAGGCCUAUGGAUGAUAUGUACCAUAUUUUCACGACUGUAAGAGGCAGAUAAAAGUCUUUUCUCCCAAAAUGGACAGCACACCUUAUCUAUGCACCAAGUUCCAAUUUCUGUAAAUAUUUUUUGUGUGACUUCAUUAAUGUACAACCAAACAUGCUGGUUACAUAGAUAGUAUGCAUGCAAACUGGGGUAUGUGUAACAUACAAGAGAAAAGAGAGUUGGUUAUAUUGUUGUUGUUUUUUUUUUUAAUUAAUUUCACCAAAAUCCCUCAAAUUGUGUUUUGGAUUAUCUUCACGAUUGUAAUUUUAUUUCCAGUCUGGCUUUAUACUUAAGAUUUUCUUUAUUUGCAAAGUCAGCACAGUCCCAGGAUUGCUUUAGACCAGGGGUGCCCAAACUUUUUUUUACCACAAGAUCUACUUUUCAAGCAGUCAGCCUCUCACGAUCGACUGGGGGUGGGAGGUGUCGCGUUUGUAAGGGUGGGCGUGACAUAUAUUUUUUUUUAAUGACCAAUAAUGAAAUACAAUGACCAAAGCACAAAGAUCUAGCCACUACAAAAAUGCAAUACAUUUAUUUUAAAGUGUUUUGAGGAUUCUGAUGGAUUAAUUGGAUAUAAAGUUUUUUCAUAUUUGCUUUCUUAGUUUUUAAUGCUUCAUUGCUUAUGUGAUGGGACGCAAUCAAGAGGCCCAUUGGGUGGCAUGGAAACACCAGACAGUGAUUCAGAAGACAACAUAAAGACUGAGGAUCUCAAGAGAAUCGUGAAGACAUUGCAAAGACUCACAUGGACUAUUUUUGUCACGGUUGCUUUGUUUGCCACAUUUCCUUUGUUGUGAUGCGGACCUCGCUAAGGAAUAAAAAAGUGGAGAUGUGAUUAGAACGGGUUGGAGAUUGUGAAAGAGACACAUGUCACGUUCUCCUUGCAAGCCAGAAGUUCCUCUUGUCUUCCUUCCUUGAGAAUUGUACUUUGUAUGUCCUAGGCUCCUUAAA